rnacentral:miRNA from 1 species
CUUAUAUACUAGGACGGAGGG